UACGGAGGAGGCAAGCAUUAUCCGGAAUUAUUGGGCGUAAAGCGUCCGUAGGUGGUUUAGUAAGUCUGCUGUUAAAGCGCGGGGCUUAACUCCGUAUCGGCAGUGGAAACUACUAGACUAGAGUGUGGUAGGGGUAGAGGGAAUUCCCAGUGUAGCGGCGAAAUGCGUAGAUAUUGGGAAGAACACCGGUGGCGAAGGCGCUCUACUGGGCCAUAACUGACACUGAUGGACGAAAGCUAGGGGAGCGAAAGGG
rnacentral:rRNA from 1 species